UAAUCCCUGCUGUGUUCGUUAGGAAGAUAUAUAAAGUAACCUAACUAUUCAAUCGGGACGCCUGAUUCCUGUUGGCCCGUGGGCUUGCAGGGGAGGGUACCCACCUGGUGAUCUGGGUCACCAUUAAAAUCUUUCGACGGCACGUGCGGGGAUUAU
rnacentral:other from 1 species